AUUGAACGCUGGCGGCAUGCCUUACACAUGCAAGUCGAACGGCAGCACGGGUGCUUGCACCUGGGGGCGAGUGGCGAACGGGUGAGUAAUAUAUCGGAACGUACCUUAUUGUGGGGGAUAACGCAGCGAAAGCUGUGCUAAUACCGCAUAAUCCCUAAGGGGGAAAGCGGGGGACCGUAAGGCCUCGCGCAAUUAGAGCGGCCGAUACCUGAUUAGCUAGUUGGUGAGGUAAAGGCUCACCAAGGCAACGAUCAGUAGCUGGUCUGAGAGGACGAUCAGCCACACUGGGACUGGGACACGGCCCAGACUCCUACGGGAGGCAGCAGUGGGGAAUUUUGGACAAUGGGGCAACCCUGAUCCAGCAAUGCCGCGUGAGUGAAGAAGGCCUUCGGGUUGUAAAGCUCUUUUGUCAGGGAAGAAACAGCAGCUCUAACACAGUAUGCGAAUGACGGUACCUGAAGAAUAAGCACCGGCUAACUACGUGCCAGCAGCCGCAGUAA
rnacentral:rRNA from 1 species